ACGCUUAUAGAAGCCCCCUCCCCCUCCUUCCCUGUCUACCUCGUCCCGCUCUCAAUCUGGCCAAUGCGUCUCGCACGUCGGUCCAUCCACGCCGACCUCGCCGGAGCAUCGCAUGCGACCUCACUGAGGGCCGUGUCUCGCCGGAUCCCCGUCGCGAAGCCCUCAUCUACCCUGUCACUGCCGUCUCCCAUCUGCCCUCAACGCAGCCGAGGUGGUGCUGCACCGAGGAGACAUGGGAGGACCUGCAGAUCAGUCGAGGUCACGCUCACCCAGGCUGCUGGCGUCUCGCCGUCCCGUGUCGCUCAGCCAUGCCUGCCUGGUGCUUGACACUCGACCCCUCGAGUCCUCCCGCGUCUUGCCCUCAAAUUCGGCCUGGCAGCCGGCGCUGCCCCGCCCCGCAUCGUCGUCGCGGACUCGUGGGCGUGAGGAAGCGCCACAAGUUCCUGUUCCUCCGCAUCUGGCUUCUGGCAACCGCCGUAGGGUCCGGAGGACGACUUCCUCGACCAGUCUUCUCCCAACCAGGCUCUCCUUUCCGCCACCGUAGAUGCUUCGGGAAAUAGGGGAAGCAUCAACGACGACGCCGGCCAGGCAGCGGUGAGCGUCCUCUUCAUUUUCUCCCUUUUCUUUUUCUCUGCCUUUUUUUGUUGGUUUUCGCGUACUCCUUAUUAGAUUUAUCCAACUCCUAUCAGGAGCAGGACGCCGUGCAGCUGCCUGGUUUGUUCCAGCCGGUGUCUUGUCUCCUAGCUAGCGUACCAAUUAGGUGCCCUCGCACACAGAUCAUGUGUGUUUGAGUUUUGAGUUUUCAGGAGUUGUGAUUGGCUGAUUUUCAAAAACAAAAAGGAGUUGUGAUUGGUGCUAUCUGCUGACUGCUUCAUAUCAAGUGGGCUGAUGUGGAUUUUAGAUGUUCCACGCGCAGCGGUAGAAGCAGGUUAGGUCAACAGGUGGGCUGCAGCCGGCAGAUUAAUCAAGUAUGGUAAUCCAGGGCAAACAUCUGAAGCUGGUAUGAUGCAUCGCUUGCGAUAUUGAUGGUAAACAUGUGCGAGUUGUCGUAGUUUGAGAAGAAACAACUUAGCAACAAUAUGCAUUUUUUGAGGAUUUUGACAUAUUAUGAUGUGAUAACUGAUUCUUCCUUUUUGUUCCAUUUUUGCACAGUGCUAAUUAUGUAUGAUUCUCAAUAUAUAUGCUUCAUUAUCUGGAUUUUCUCCUUUUUUUACUUAUAUGCUACUUUUUGAAUGGUUUUACAUUUAUUAUACAAAGGAAAAAUAUACGAGGCUGAAUAAUGUUUGUUAAUCUGCAACUGAUGGAAAACAGAUUUUCGACAAGGCCCAUCACCUUCAUGUUUUAAUUGUACUGACUUCUGAGAUGUCCUAGCAAGUUUUCAUGCCCAUGUAACUUUGCUGCUAUACAUGUUCUGCAAGGAAGUAGAAGGUGUUGUGGUCCCAUUAUUUUAGAGGAACAUGAAAUUGUGUCCCUCCUGUUCUGUAGUAGAGUCCUGUCAGACUAUGUCGAAUUGGCAGAAAAGGAAGUUAAUUUGGGACUAUUGGUUUCGCUGUUAUUUCUUAGGCUUUGUUAUGUUAUUCAUCUAAAUUUGUUAUGUUAUUCGUCUAAAUUUGUGUUGUUUGACCCACUGUAUACUGUACAGUGCAUGGAACUACCUAUUUCUGACGAAUAUAUUGCUCUCUGGAAAGGUGUGUGUACUGCUGAUUGUGGUGGCGUGUGCAAGGGGCGCCGUUCCCUGUCCUAUGUGGUUCCUCGGCUGCACCCUCCUCUCACGAACAAUCAAUCUAUGUGAUGUUUUCUUUAGAGAUCAUUCAAAUAUUGUUUUGUUAGAACCUCUAUAAUAUUCUCUCUGCUUGGGUAUUGGUUGUUGCAGGAUUAGAAUCGUAUCGUGAUACCCACCAUAUGAAGCAAACAUCAGCAACGACCUAGAUGACUGCCUGAAGGUAAUAGUUCUUCCUAUAGAAGUUAACCCCUCGACUUGAUAUGGACUUAAAUAUACAACAUGCAUUCCCAUUCAGUCAGAAUAUGUGGUAGAAACACAUUCAUCAUAUGUAUGGCCAAUUCUAACCUUUAAUGGAGGUGCUCUUGUUGUGUUCACAAGCAUGGUCAUUACUCAUAUUUGUGAGUUGCAACCAAGAUGCAAAAGUGUCCUUUUUGUGUUUCUCACAAGUUCUUUCCUUCUUUCUGUGUGCAACUUUGACAACUCUCCAAGGAGCAUCCAAGUAUGCUGAACUUUUUUUAUAUAUAUCUGGGAGUCAUACGCUGGACACUACACUCCUGCAUUUGCAACUCAUGUGCCAAGGCGGAAUAGAACAAUGAGGGCAUUUACCUUGAUUUGAAGGUUUCAGUCAACUCCUUUUGGAUCUCCCCAUGUUGUAAAUUGUUAUGAAGGUUUUUGUAGUUUAAUCUUCUUUCUCAAGGUGUUUGCAAUUAGCAUGGCUUACAAAUCCAGUAUAAGGUAUGCACCAAUUAUGCAUUGGAUGUGGGUGUUCGGUGUCCCAUGUCAGUCUCAUGGACUUGAUUAAUUUGCAUACUGCAGAAUGCAGCAGUACUUUGCUCAACAAAGGUACAAGUUAAUCGAUUCAUCUAUUUGCUGGAUUAAAUAAUAUAUGCAUGAGCAUAUUCAGUUAAUUAGCAUGAGCAUAUCCAUCUUCUGAGGUAUACAUCAGAGAGAGGGAGAAUUCUUAUUAGCCUUGCUGCCUACUGACAUCGAAUUUAAUUUUAUCUUUUCUUUCAGGUAGCUUUGGUGUUGUAUCUUGCCUUGCUACCUGUUUUUUUUAUUGCGAUACCAUAUUCAGUUCCGUGAGGCUGAAAAUUGGGUGCAAAAAUAUAAAGUGGAAUACCCUGGAAGGACAAGUAUAUUCAUAUAUAUUCAACCUAGGUUUUCAGUUUUACCAUCUUCCUUAGCUGCUGCAACAUGAAGGAGUGACUUUACAGGAUUGUCAUGGACUUUAUAUAACUACCCAGCUACACGCAUACACUAUUUUUUUGAGAAUACACACAUAUUUUGCUUGCAAUUGUGAAUAAAAGACUGGUAAAGAUAAGUGUUAACUGUGUAUCCAUAGUCUUGCUCUUUUUUCUUGGAUGUUUAAGUCAAAUGUUCAUUCAUAGUCUUUUUUUAUAGAUGUCCCUCAUAGUCUUUUUUUAUAGAUGUCCCUGCCAUAGCACAACAAUGGAGGGUAGAAUGCAAGAAAUGCUCAAAUAAUUGGGUUGUAGCAAUUAGAUGGGCUUUUUGAUUUUCUAUUGAGAAAAUUGCAUGGUUUAUCCACUCAUUAAUUAUUGCAGUUUUGUUGUGGCAGGAACAGAGCGUGUAUUGCAGUUUAUACUACCGACAGGAUCAGAACAUUUGUCUCUCUGAAUUUUGUUUAGAAAGGCAUAACAUAUCGGAACUGAAUUUUUCCUAGAGCAAUAUUCAUGUUUAUUCUUACUUGUAUAAUUUUGUUUAUAAAGGCUAGAUCAAAAUAAUAAAAACAACACACUUUCAUUUUUUGGUGAA